CGUAGUGUGGCAUAAUGGUUUGAGAGUUGGACUGCAACUCUGGAGACCGGGGUUUGAUUCCCUGCUUAGCUA